rnacentral:misc_RNA from 1 species
UUUUAUUUAGAAAAACAGUUUCAGCUCUCCGAACGCAAUAUCAAAUAGGCACGAUAAGUAAUCUAUUUCUCAAUAUGAUUUGGCUAUGCUUUUUGCGGAGGCUCUGGAUUCCAGGGUUAUGACAAAGUUUGCAGUUGCACUUAAGUUUCGAUGCAGAAAUAUUCUUAGGUUUGGACUUAGGAUCCAUGAGUGAAAGAACCUCCACAUGUUCUGAAUAAGGGUUGAACACAACAUGUGUGGAUGAGAUGUUAAGAUUAUCUUCUUUUAUAAGAUGUUAAGGUUUUAUUUUCUUUAGCAAUUUGAUUUAUUUAUAUUGUAAAAGUUGGGAUAUAACACAAGGUCCUAUAUUUUCACUGUCUGAAAAGAUCAAGUAAAUGGUGUACUUGAAUGUUACAAUAUGAAUGGAAUAUCAGCAUCGGCAAUGGUCUGUUAUAGUGUACAUUUGUUAACAGUGUGAAGAUAAUAUUAUGUACAAUUGGAUCUCCCAGCCUCGCAUCUUUUCAUAUCUUUUGUGAACACAACAAAUCAAACAUCUUGAUGAUAUUAUUUGUUGACAUGUUUGACACUAGCAAGUGAUGGAAGGGUUGAUGAGAAAGUUUUUUUAGGUCAACAGUGGAAUGGUUUGUGCUCAAUUGUUGCCUCUGCCAAAAGAAUUACUGGGAAGCCUAAUAAAGGAUCCCAAUGCCCGUUGUCGCUGAAACUGUUUUUAAUUCUAAUGAGUUUUAUAUUUGCAAGUGUUAUGAUUAAUUGCCAAUUAAUAAGCAAUUUUGGGUAAAAAAAAAGGAGCAUUUUGUCCUUUUUUGUGCUUCAAUAUUUUUAUAUGUGACAGUCACACUAGUGUUUUUUGCAUAACAUCAAAACUUUUCUGGUGUAUGCUAUGUCAGUUACCUUGUUGCGGCUGCUGGUUUGCAGUGUUUGUGGAGCCUUACCUUAGCUAUUGUAGACAUUUAUGCUCUCUUAGUGAUGCGCUCCUUGCAGAAUUAUCAAGUUGUCAGCCUGUUUGCUGUUGGUGAUGGGGUAAGAUUACAAUGCUGAAUAUGACAAUUGAACCUUUUAUCUUUUACACAUGCUGCUGCUUACUUCAAUGGUAUAUUAAAAACUGGAAUCAGUAUUUUUUUGUCUGACUUCUAAGGCAUGGGUCAUUAACAAUGAUAUUGCAUUGAAUUAGUUAAGGCUUUUUGAACUGCUUGGUUCUGCUCAUGAAAAUUCCUCCCAGCAAGUUUCUUCAAAUUUUCCAAUCAAUGCAGUAUUCCUUGAUUCUUCUGCUAUCCAUCUUUUCUUUUUUCUUUCAUUUAUGAUUUCCAGUUUGUAGUAACAGUUAUCAUUACUAAUUACCUGCAUUGGGUAGUUAGGUGUUUAUUGACUCAUAUAUAGAGGACAAGUUCAGCAAGUUGCAUCUCACUCAUAUGUGUCUGUAAUCAAGUCUAAAUUUACUUGGACUAAUAUAUCAGACUAUUAUCUUUGUCCAUGGCAAGAAGCAGAAACUGAUAUUAUCAACCAAUGAACUUUAGCUCAGUGGUAUUGGAGUUGCCUUUAGGAUUGUAAGGUUUCGAGUUCGAGUACCAGUUGGAGUCAAUUGUACCACAAAAAUAAAAAGAAACUGAUAUUAUCACAUGAAUGGAUCAGAGUGACUGUAUCAUGUUUGUUCCUAUUGUGCACAUGAAUUCCAGAUUUGCAUUGAAUAAACAAUUGGUGUUGAAUGGGAACCAUGACAAAAGUUCACAUUAUAUGCUCACUUUGCCUUCCUUCUUCUAUACGUGUGUUAACUUAUUUGUCUAACUUGUUAAUUUAAUCAUCUCGAUGAAAGUUUAUUUUCCUUGGCUCUUGUGGCUGAAAUGAUAUGGACAUUUUUAUGCAGAUCACAUCCACUCUUACAUUUGCUGCAGCUUGUGCUUCUGCUGGCAUCACAGUCCUUAUUGAUAAUGAUCUUGGCAACUGUUCUGAGAAUCAUUGUGUGCAGUUUGAAACUGCUACAGCCAUGGCUUUCAUUAGCUGGUUUGCUGCAUUACCUUCUUUUCUCCUGAAUUUUUGGUCGCUGGCAUCCCGAUGACAAAAGAGAAUAACCGAAAAAUUAUAAAAAGGGAAGAAUGAUGACUAUUUUUGUUAGACCAACUGAAAUACAUGGUAUUGUUUGAUCUUUAUUGCCUUUUGUGUGCUCCAAUUCCCAAAAUUUAAACUCGCAUCUCGUCCCUUGUGAAUGUUUUGUAAAUCAGGAUGAAUGUAAAUAUUCCAUUAGUCUAUUAGCGAGGAAAUGAAUUUUAUUGGACCACUAUGGUGUGGAUAUUCAAUGUGGAAUAUCUGAAGUGAAUCAGUGUGACGUUUGACGAGUGUUUAAUGUUGGCAUUAUUUUCUCUCUUAUUUGAUGAUCUCCGGUUUUGCUAUGAUGGUACUUGGUGGUAUCUAGAAAAAGAUAUGAUACUCGAGUCAUCAGCCCCAAAAUGUUGCCUAGAAGACUAAAACUGAAGGUAAGCUUGUGCUGCUGCUGCUGCCGCUUUCUUUCCUUUACUUUUCUAAAUUUUAUUUUUGAAUUUACAGUGGACUCCGUGUCUUGGAAACCGUAUUAGACCUGGUAAUUGCCUGUAAUUUGUG